CCCUUAGAUGUUCUGGGCUGCACGCGCGCUACACUGAUGCGCUCAACGAGUUUUAACCUUGCCUGGAAAGGUUGGGUAAUCUUUUUAAAACGCAUCGUGAUGGGGAUAGAUUAUUGCAAUUAUUAAUCUUCAACGAGGAAUUCCUAGUAAGCGCGAGUCAUCAUCCCGCGCUGAAUACGUCCCUGCCCUUUGUACACACCGCCCGUCGCUCCUACCGAUUGAGUGGUCCGGUGAGGCUUUGGGAUCUGAGCAAAGAGAGCGUUUCGCUCGUUUUGCCCGGAAAACUCAGUCGAACCUUAUCAUUUAGAGGAAGGAGAAGUCGUAACA
rnacentral:rRNA from 1 species